GACGAACCGUGCGAACGUUAUUCGGAUUCACUGGGCUUAAAGGGCGCGUAGGCGGACUCGCCAGUCCGGGGUGAAAAUCUUUCGGGCUUAACCGGAAAAGUGCCUUGGAUACUGACGAGCCUUGAGGAAGGUAGGGGCAUGUGGAACUUCCGGUGGAGCGGUAAAAUGCGUUGAUAUCGGAAGGAACGCCGGGUGGCGAAAGCGACGUGCUGGACCCUUCUCUGACGCUGAGGCGCGAAAGCCAGGGGAGCGAAACGGGAUUGAGAAACCCCAGGUA
rnacentral:rRNA from 1 species